rnacentral:rRNA from 1 species
CCUACGGGGGGCAGCAGUCGAGAAUCAUUCACAAUGGGGGAAACCCUGAUGGUGCGACGCCGCGUGGGGGAAUGAAGGUCUUCGGAUUGUAAACCCCUGUCAUGUGGGAGCAAAUUAAAAAGAUAGUACCACAAGAGGAAGAGACGGCUAACUCUGUGCCAGCAGCCGCGGUAAUACAGAGGUCUCAAGCGUUGUUCGGAAUCACUGGGCGUAAAGCGUGCGUAGGCUGUUUCGUAAGUCGUGUGUGAAGGGCGCGGACUCAACCCGCGGACGGCACAUGAUACUGCGAGACUAGAGUAAUGGAGGGGGAACCGGAAUUUUCGGUGUAGCAGGGAAAUGCGUAGAUAGCGAGAGGAACACUCGUGGCGAAGGCGGGUUCCUGGACAUUAACUGACGCUGAGGCACGAAGGCCAGGGGGGCGAAAGGGAUUAGAUACCCCAGUAGUC